AAAAAUAAAAUAUCCCCAAACAAAUUGACACAUAACCUCAAACUAACUUUCACAACUCCAUGACGCUUCAAUUAUCUAAAAUGUUUUAAUCUUUCAUAAUCACAACUUAAAGGAAUCAUUUACAUGAUCUAACGGUAGGAACAAGUGAGGAAUUGCCAAAUGAAUGAAUCUAAUGUAUAUUUUGUAAGGAAUUGACGAUAACUCCUGAAGAUGCUGUAUAAACACAGUGAAACCGGUUGAGUGAAAAUU